CAAAAUAUAUAUUUGUAUGAAUGUGUGUAUAUAUAUACACACACACAUAUAAUAUUAAUUGUCACUAACAUAACCCUAGUAUAUAUAUUAUAGUAUAGUACUCUUCAUGCACUAUAUAAACAACUCAAACCUUACAAUGCUUCCCACCAACACACAUAGAUCAGUACCCUUCUAGCCGAACUCUCCAUUUUUGGUAAGUCAAUAUAUAUACUAAUUCUGUAUAACAUAUUUUCUUUGUAUCAAUGGUGAAAGUUCAAAAGUAUUGUGUAAAUAUUAAAAUAAUUUGAUAUUCUCUCUAGUACAUACUUGUCUUACAUAAUUAAGAUAUAUGAUGAUGGUCUAAUUGUUUGAGCUUAAUUUGUAUGUCAGUGAAAAAUAUAUAUAUAGAAAAGUGAAAGUAGUGCAAGAAUGAGGAAGACUCUAGUAUUUGUUCUAGCCCUACUGAUGAUGAGCUCUUGCUUGUCCUUCAACUUGAAAGCGUUAAUGGCUGAAAUGAAUUUCAACGACGAGCAGCGAAAGCUACUAGCAGCCGAGGGGAGCAACUCUGUGCACCCUGGAACAAACGAUCUGAACAACCACCACUAUAUUCCUAGGCAGGACUUCGGCAACUAUAAUGGUGGUGGCAACUCUGGUGGAGGUACCGACGAUAACGGUGACAAAUCGGAAAAAAAUAAUUAGUUUUUGAGAUAUAUGUGAUGAGUUUUUUAAAUCAAGUUUAGUUACGUACUAUAUAUAUAUAUAUAUAUAUAUAUAUAUAUAUAUAUAUAUCUGUUUUUAAUCAAGUUUUUUUGUUGUUGAUGUGGUGCAAGAAGAUAUUAAAGAGUAUGUAUGUAUAUAUCUUGUGUAUAUUGUAUGGUAGGUAUAGUAGUACGUUUUGGCAAUUCUUAUAUGCCAAUGAUAUAUAUAAUUAAAUAAAACAUGUGUUAUAUUUUGUAUAAUUAAUUUAUUGUUGAUCAAAUUUUUAUCUGCAUGCACUCGUUAAAUAUAUCAUUUGACAAU
rnacentral:lncRNA from 1 species